rnacentral:lncRNA from 1 species
AGUGAAAUAAAAAUCAAGAUGAUCAGGGCGGUGCAGAGCCAAGGACACACAAGCCACGCUGCCCCACAGGGUCUGAAGGAGUCGCCUGCUUUCCAGUGUUGUCUCUCCUCCUGCUGAAUGUCAGGAGCCCACUGACAACAGAGACUCGAGGCCGGAGCACAGUGGUGCAAUCUCAGAUCUCAGCUCCCUGCAACGUCUGCCUCCUGAGUUCAAGCGACUCUCCUGCCUCAGCCUCCUAAGUAGCUAGGACUACAGACACACACACCACCACACCCGGCUAAAUUUUGUAGUUUUGGUAGAGACGGGGUUUUGCCAUGUUGGCCAGGCUGGUCUCGACCUCCUGACCGCAAGUGAUCCACCCUCCUUGGUCUCCCAAAGUGCUGGGAUUACAGGCGUGAGCCACCAUGCCUGGCCUCCUUCUGUUUUUCAUUGUGAAAAGCAACAGUUCUGCCAGGGAGCCCUCUUUACAGCUAUUGCCUCUCUCUCAGGCUGGUGGUUAUCACAUUUUCGCCGUCCCUCCAAGUCCCGGGUGGUAUAUGCUUUUGCUUGUUGCCUGCCCUAAGGAGCACCACUAUCCCUUGUUAAAACAGUCCUCUUAUUAAACUCGCUGCAGACCUCCCUCCUGCAGAGUGCCAUCUGUUUCCUGCCUGGACCCUGCCUGGCUCAGUGACUUUUGUGCUCAGCCCCCAAGCUUUCUCUGGUUCUCUAGAGUCUGAAUCAAGCAAACCAAGUCGCAUGUUCUGUAGGCUGGAAAAGCCAUUCUGCCAUGUGUAAAACUGGAUAUUGUAAAAGAAAAAGAAUCUCACAGGAAAAGAGGCAUAAGAAGUAAGUAGUAGUCACCUUUUUGGGGUGACUGAAUUCAUAGACAAGCUGAGCAAGCAAAACACAAGGAAGAAGAUCACCUUUUUUGAGCAUCAUUUCUUUGUCAACAAAUUAAAGGGUUGAAAAAGGACCAGUC